rnacentral:rRNA from 1 species
GACGGAAGGCGCAAGCGUUGCUCGGAAUCAUUGGGCGUAAAGGGUGCGUAGGCGGCUUGGUAAGUCUGGUGUGAAAGCCCUGGGCUCAGCCCGGGAAGGGCGCUAGAGACUGCCGAGCUGGAGUGCCGGAGGGGAGAGUGGAAUUCCUGGUGUAGCGGUGAAAUGCGUAGAGAUCAGGAGGAAUACCGGUGGCGAAAGCGACUCUCUGGACGGCAACUGACGCUGAGGCACGGAAGCGUGGGGAGCAAACAGG